UUUUCCUCAGCAUUUGCCAUGCGCAGGCUCUGCAUGUGCUCAAGGCCCAGUGGGCAUUCACUCUUUGUUUAUAAAUGACAGCUGUGGUGACAGGUUCCUUACCUGCACAUAAGGUUUUGAGCCACAGUGAGACAUGAGACAUUUACAACCAUUCUCCACCCCAGCCGGGUUCCCAUGUGGCAUUCUGGGAGUGAGCACAACAUCCAGUCUUCAUGCAUCAUUCCAACCCCUAUUGUGUCUGGAUGUCCAGUGCCAUUUGCUGAGACCUUGCAGAGAAAUGGAAGCCACAGCCAUCACCAGAGCUAAGACACCUUGUGAUCUUGCUGGGAGCCACCACCACUUGGCAGCACUCUUCCUGGCCAAACCCUAGAUACUCUUCCUUCCAGAUCUGCACACUUUUUGAUGAAGACCGAAGUCUGAAAACUCCUGUCUGCACAGAAUGUGAGUGACUCCUCUGUGAAGUCCCUUCUUUCAGCACUAGUGGACACCGAUGCUCGCUGGGAAAUUCAACCUCAACCAGAUGCUUCAGAAGCAAUACAUGCCCCUGAAACAAGCCAGUCAGCAGAGACGGAACAAAAGAAAUGUGGUCUUCUACCCUUCAACCUCGCGGCUUCCCAGAUUGCCUCUGGCAUGAUGUCCCCAGGAGGAGACAGCCAGGCUCUUCCUUCCACCCUGGUCUCUCCCGAAGCUGUUGGCUCUUUCAAGUGUGUGCUUUGUUUCACAUAUACAUGCCCUUUUCCAGGUUAAUACAACACAAAUUAUUCCCUUGUGGCUUCAACUCAGUGUAGGCCCUGCUGCUGGACACAUGGGUUGUCUCCAGUCCUUCCCUUUCUGGCAAAGCAGCCUUGACCUAUCUCCUUUCUCUAUGAACAGUCCCUAGAGUGUACACAGGGCCAAGGGUGCAGUUUCAAUUUAAUAGAAGUGGUUGGCUAUGUAAGUGUGUGUUGAAUGACUGAUUUUGAAUAGCUCUGAACGUAUUCAGUUGCCUGAAGAAGGCCCACGUGGCCUUGACAGCAGAAAGGAUGCCCAUUCCUGUUUGUUAUUGGUCGUUUUUUGUCUUCCUUCCUUCUUUUCUUUCCUUCUUUAUUUCUUUCUGUUUCAGACACAGGGUCAAUAUACAGCCUUGGUUGGCCUGGAACUCAUUAUGUAAACCAGGCUGGUCUCAAACUUAGAGCGAUCUCCUUGCCUUUGGUUCCCAUGUGCUGAGAUUAAAGCCCAAUUUGUCUUUGACUCUUAACCAUACUGGGGAUUAACCUCAGGGCUAGUAAGUGCUCUGGCACUGAGCUUGUAUCCUCUGCCGUCUUCUUACUCUAAUUUUGAGGUAGGCUCUACUAAGUUUCCCAGCUUGGCCUUCAGCUCACUAUGCAUUCCCAGGCAGGCCUUAUCAUGAUCCUCCUGAUUCAGCUUCCUGAAUUGGUGAGUGUUGGCCACCAUCAGUCUCAUUCCUGUUAAUGAUAAGGAUGUGCUUCAAUCUCAGUGCAAGUAUGCUUCCCUCUUGUCCUAGCUGGAACUUCUGGGAUGAAGGCAGGAAGGUCAGAGAUUCAAGGCCAUCUGUAACAGAAGUUUUGGGUUCUUUGUCAACUCAGUUAUGUUAUGUAAAUACGUUUUUGUUUUAAUCCCAAGUGUGGGAUUUUAGUUGGGCUAUAGUUUGUCCACAUCUGUUAAUUGCCAGAAAGAGAUGGCAUGGUAUGUGGCGUUGGUGUGUGGGGUAUAGCAGUUUGGAGAGACCUGAGAGACGGACAGAUGGUAUGGCAGUUUGGAGCAGACAGACGGAGAGAAAUGCUUUGGGAUGCAGUGUCUUGAAGGAGACUGCUGGGUGGGUCUUGACAGAUUGGUACAGAGCCCUAAAAAAACCCUCUCGACCCUAAACAGCCCGGAGAAGUAAAGGGGCCCUCUCUCCCCACUAACCUUAUCUCUCCUACAAAGGAUUGGGAGGUUGGAAGAGAGGCUGAGGCCUAAACACCCCAAAUAAAGUACAGUUUUAAAAACGAGUGCUACCAUCCUUGGCUAUAUAGAGAGUUCAAGGCCAGGUUGGGCCAAAUAAAACCUGUCAAAAAAAAAAAAAAACAACAAAAAAAAAAACACAAGAGGACAGAGGGUGUGUUAGGUAGGGAAGAAGUGGGGAGACCCAGUCCUGGGGUAGGACCCCUGCUAAGGGCAGUGACAUUUCUUAGUGCCAGCUUUACUUUAGGAUGGAGAGGAAGGGCUGCUGGCUUGUUGCAUCUUGCAGCGCUGUAAGAGGGGAGCUUACUGUUGGCUUAGUGGGCAGAGACUGUCAUUCCAGCAUCCCUGGUAUGCCUGCCACCAGCAGGCUUCUGUACAUCCUCAUCUGCACCACCUCCUAGCAGCCUUCCCCACUCUGAUUUGGGCCAGCCAGAUGACUCUGUGGGUAAAGGCGUUGCCACCGUACACGAUGAUCUGAGUUCAAUUCCCGGGUUCCAUAUAAUGGAAGGAAAGAACUGACUUUUGUAGGCUGACCUCUGACCUUCACAUGUGGAGUGUGAAUGGGCUUAUGUGCCCACAUACACUCUCUUCUCACAUAAUAAAUGCAAGUAAUAAAUGAAUAGGUAGACAGACAGACAGGUAAAGAUGGCUUGCCCUGCCACUCUCUAGGAACCUGGCUCCUCCAGAGUAUAACCUUGACUUCUGCUCCCAGCCCACUCAGCACCUGCUGCUGUGGCUUACUCCUUUUCCAGCUCUGUCUCCCAGACUAUAAGAUGGGGUUCAGCUCACAGGGUGCAGAAAUGCCUGGGUGGGCCUGUCCCCGGAAACUCCCUUACCCAGGAUGCAUCUAAAGUUAGGUGUGGUGGUGCACACUUUGGAACCCCAGCACUCAGGAGGUAGAGGCAGGGGGAUGUAGACUCAGGAGUCAGCCUGAGCUACAUAGAGAGAGGCUGUCACAAAAUAAAAUGGAAACAAAAACUAUCCAGGUUUUUCUCAUGACACUUCACUGUCUCUGACCCCUUUAAUUCCCAGGCUCUGAGUGUCCCCCAGGCAACAUGACGCAGACUUUAGAGACCUUGACUCUACUCAUUUUUAAAAAAAUUAUAUUUUAAUCAUAUUCUUUCCUUCCCCUCUACUCCUCUCAGACCCUUCUCACCUCCUUGCCAACUUCCCUACUCUCCAACUUCAGUAUGUCAUGUAGACUAGGCUGGCCUCACACUUGCUAUGAAGCUGAGAGUGACCUGAGCUCUGGGAUGACAGGCAUGCACCUCCACCUGGAUUAUCAGAGCUGGGGGUGAUUAUCAGGGCUUCCAUGCUGGACAAACACACUGCUGCCACUGAGCCAUAUCCCCAGCCCCUGCUCUGUUCCUACCCUUGGCAGGUGGCUGGAAUACAGUUGGCACUCAGCAUUUACCAUAAGCAAAGGAAAAACAUUCCACACUGCUUUGAGAACAGGCCAAGGGUGAGGAUGUGACCUCCAGGUUGCUGUGUCUCCACAAUAUUAUCACAAUUCCCCUUUUGACAUCUGGGUUGCUUCACUAGGUUAGCCUGCCACUUCAAAGCAAGUGACCCUGAGGAAGAGGUGACAUGGCUUUAGGAGAAAAGAGUGCAUGUGCCCUUUCACCAGAAAACCAGUUAGGUAGGCUUGGACAGGCUGAGCCCACACGGACACUGGCCAUCUUCUCUUAAGUCCUAUACAGUCAAACUGGCAUCUCUGUGAACAUUGUUCCCCCGUAAGCACAGCACCAGAUCCCAAAGUGACCGCCUUCCCCAUCCUGCCUGAGCCAGUUUCCAUCCAUUCACUCAGCAAUUAUUUAUUGCGUAUAUGUCAGGCAAAAUGGAGGUCAGGCAGAUACAGUGGUUAUCAGUGAAGUCCCUGACUACCAGCUGUCAUGGCGCCCCAAAGAUGUCUACAUUAUAAUCUAGGAACCUGUAUGUCAACUAUAUGGCAAAGGGACUAUGCAGAGGUCCUUAAGUUAGGAAUUUUGAGGUUGUGUUUAAUCAUCUAAGUGGGCUAAUGUAACCACAAGGGUUCUUACAGGGAAACGGGGAUAGAGCCCACUUUCAGGAGACCUAACACCCUUUUCUGACCUCCUCAAACACUAUGCAUGCAUGUGAUCUACAUAUAUACAUGCAGGCAAAACACCCAUGCACAGAAAAUAAAUAAAUCUAAAAUCUUUUUAAUAAUGUAUUUAUUUUAUUUUAUGUACAUUGGUGUUUUGCCUGCAUAUAGGUCUGUGUGAGGAUGUCAGAUCUCCUGGAACUGGAAUUACAGAUAGUAGUGAACUGCCAUGUGGUUCUAGGACUUGAACUUGGGUCUUCUGGAAGGGCAGCCAUGGCUCUUAACCACUGAGCCAUCUCCCCAGCUCCUAAAUCUAAAUUUUUUGAAAAAUAAUUUCAAAACACCCACAGCAGGCAUUUUGCAAGGGUAGGCCACUCUAGGCACACAGCCAAGUCCAGCUGCACAGGCUCUGAAUCCCACCAAGAUCCAGCGAUGCAGUGGUCUAAGAGAAGUAGCAGCAGGGCCACAAGGGCCUCAGGGAGGAUCUAACGAUGGCUGGACUUAGUCCAGAGUGGGGAAAGCUCCGGGGAGAGUGCACUUGUGGCUUCACUAGGGCCAGCUGAGGAGGCACGGAGGAGAGGGGAUACACACCUAGACGGUGUGGUUCCCCUGCGAGCCUCUUCCCCCAUUCCUGCUAGGGACACUUCUUACCAUCUCCUUCCUGUGGCUUUCCACAGGAAAGCCUCCCUUCCCUGAUAGGUGAGGCUAACUUCUGGUUGUUUCUCAGUCUUCUCCACUUUCCCAUCAAUACCCCUUCUCUGUUCCGCCGCUCCACCUCUCCCUGCACACCUGUAUUCUGCAGUGCAUUGGACCCGGGUCAGCGUUUGAUCUUAACCACUGACCUUCCCCGUCAGCUCAUGUUGCAUAUUGCAGGCUUGGAGAUUGAGGCUCGAGACAUUAAGUAACUGCAGUCCUCAGGUACUACUCCACAAAGGUUGGCUUCCUGUGUUGCUGAUCCUAAAACUCCACUGUACACACAGUCUCUCCAGAGCCCCAGUCCCCACCAUAUCCAGGAGUCUCCCUCCCGGGUCAGUGUGAGUUUUCCUCCUGUAUGCUUUCUCUGCUUUGGGUUUUUCCUAAGCAAACUAACUUAAACGAAGCCAUAGCAUUAAUAUUACUGUUGCUUGUACUGUAUUGAUGGGGUCUUGCUAUGAACAGGCUGGUCUUGAAUUCUCAGUCCUCCUGUCUUGGCUUCUCAGUGCAGGGAUGACAAGCCCAUGACACUAUGUCCAGACCAAUAAAACCGUCUGAACAGACUUCUUAUGAAGCCUGCUGGUAGCCAUAGCAGAAAGUAAUUGCAGGGGCUGGGAAAAUUAAUGGUAUGACAGAUUACCACAGUGGUGCCUGCUAUCAAUCCAGCACUUAAGAGACUGAGGCAGGAGGAUUACAAGUUGAAGGCCAGCCUGGGUCACACUGUGGGUUCAAGGCUAGCAUGUGUUACAUAGUGAAACCCUGUCUCAAAAAUGACUCCCUAAAAAGCUGGAUGCAGUAGUAUACACACAAAAUCUCAGCAUUUGAGGGGUGGAGACAGGGGUAUGAGGAGUUCGGGGUCAGCCUUUACUAUGUAAUGAUUUUGAGGCCAGCCUAGGCUAUCUUUGACUCUGUCUCAAACAAAAACAAACAACCCCCCCCACACACACACAACUGAACCAGAGUGGAGCAGAACCCACAACACGGAAUGGAGGAAGCUGCUUAUUGCGUUUGCACUUGUUGAGCUCACCAGACCCAGACGGAAGACCCUAACAAACACCAGCUGAGCCUGCCUGCUUGCAAACCAGGCAGCACAGAGGGGUGGUGUCUGGUCCAAGGUUACACAUGCUGAGUGGGGUCUUCACUGCAGUCCCCGAAAGGAGGCCUUAGCAGAGAAACCCAGGCCACUGAAGAGUCUGUGACCCCAGGCUGAGUAAGUAGCUGUAGGCAAAUCAGCAUAGGAAAAUACAUCUUCCCUCCACAGGUAAAUUAGGGGUGACAUUUGACUUUCAAAAGCAUUCACAGACAGGUGGGAUGAAGGGUGAAUACUUGACAGUCUCUUUGAUGCUCUGACUCCUCCCUCCUUUCUUAAGCAAAGAAUAUGAAGCCACACAUGCUUUGCACGUGUAGCAGCAUCGUGCUGCCAGCACUUGAGAGGUGGAGGACUAUCAGGAGCUCUAGGCCAGCCUGGGCUACAUGGUGAGACCCUGUCUCAAAAACCUAAAGCCAGGCAUAGUGUGGUCCAUGCCUGUAAUCCCAGAACCGGGGAGAUGGAGACAAGGAGGAUCAAGAGUUCAAGGUCAUCCUCAGCGUAUAACUCAGUGAGAGGCCAGCCUGAGAUACAUGAAACCUGGUCUCAAAAAAAUAAAACAAAAGAGGGUGGUUUGCUGGACCAUAGGUAAUGCUGAUUUGGAUGAACUAUCUAUGGUCACUUGUGUCUUUGUGGAGAUGUUAGCAGAUCCUUUGCUGCCUUGUUAUGGUUGUUAGCUAUUGUGUUGUAGGAGUUCCUCAUAUAUUUUUUUAAAAUUACCUGUUGUGGUAGUUACCAUUUGUCCCAUCCAGCGGGAGUUCAACGGGUUCCUAAGGAGGGGCGAAAGAAUGGUGUAGGACAGAGACACAAAGAAUGGAGACCAAGUCAGUUUGUCUGAUCAGGCCUCAUUUAUUUGAGAUUUUUACCCAAUUUAUACAGGGAGAAGGCAGGAAAGGGGGGAGGCUAAUUUACUGCUGCAGAUGAUAGCAAGAGUGCUUUCAUGGCUUGAAUAUUGCACCUGCAAGAUACCGUAAGGAUGUUUACUUAAGAUAUCUCAAGGAUGCUCCAAGACUAACAAACGGAUGUUCUCACAAAUCUGUCACCCAUGACCUAGGGUCCUAGUGCAGCUGUUGAUAACUUUUCCACUAAUUGGCUUUGUCUCCACUAAAUGACCUUUGCUCACUAUUUGGCUUUGGCUUCAGUAAAUAGCUUUGGCUCCCAGCAACCAUUAACCACCAACUUGACACAACCUAUAGUCAUCUGAUGAGGGAGCCUCAAUGGAGGGAUUGCUCAGAUUAGAUUGACCUGUGUUGGGUGUUGUCUUCAUUGUCGGUUGAUAGAGGAGAGUCCAUCCCACUAUGGCCAGCACCAUUCAUUCCUGAGGCAGGUGGUCCUAGGCUGAAUAAGAAAGCUAGCUAGCCAUGACCCAUCAAGCAAGGCAGCAAACAGUGUUCUUCCACAGUUUUGGCCUCAAGUUCCUGCCUGAGCACCUGCUCUGAUUGCCCUCAGUAACAGACUGUGACCUGAAGUAGAAACCAAAUAACCCUUUUCCUCCCAGAGAUGCUUUUGGUUCAAGUGCUUUAUCACAGCAACAGACAGGAAACAGAAACAGCCUCUUAUUAGACAUGUGGCUCAUGAUCAUGUUCUCCCACUCUGGAGAUUGUAUUUUUUAAUGUUCAUCGUUUCCUUUAUUGUGCUAUUUUUAUAAAUAAAGUUUUAUUGGAACACA